UACGGAGGGGGCUAGCGUUGUUCCGGAAUUACUGGGCGUAAAGCGCACGUAGGCGGCUUUGUAAGUUAGAGGUGAAAGCCCAGGGCUUAACCCUGGAAUUGCCUUUAAGACUGCAUCGCUAGAAUUGUGGAGAGGUAAGUGGAAUUCCGAGUGUAGAGGUGAAAUUCGUAGAUAUUGGGAAGAACACCAGUGGCGAAGGCGACUUACUGGACACAUAUUGACGCUGAGGUGCGAAAGCGUGGGGAGCAAACAGG
rnacentral:rRNA from 1 species